AGGUAAUUAUAUGCUUUAUGUAAAUGAGACCCCAUUGUGUGACCUAACAAGAAUUCCUCAUUAAAACCAGACAUGCAUUGCACACCCCACUUUGUUAAAUCAUUUUGUGAUAAAUUCAAGUGCAGUUAUCUUGGAUCUGGAUUAGCAGUGCACCGCUUAAAUGAAGCUGAAGAUUAUGUUCAGCUGAAACCAAGGUAACAUCUCACAACCACUAGCCAUAUUUACAGUGAGUGCCUGCUAGCCAUUGUCAAAUGUGUCUUAUAAGAUAAAAACUAGGUGGCAGUUCCUGUGUCCAUAUCGUCUUGUAUAACAUAACACAAAAUGUCCUAAACCCUGUACAUCAUGGAGUACAACAUGGUGCUAGCAGUGUUACGGGUUUGAGUUUGAUUCCCAGGGGGAAGUAGCUGAUCUUAAGGCAAUAAAAGCACCUGACAGAUGUUUUCUGAUGCAGAAUGUGCAGCCAUUGAGAACUCUUUGCUCUUGUGCACUUUGACCAUCAAGAUGAGAUAAAGAUAUUUAAUUUACUGUUCUCACCAAACUGAAAGUGUCCUGUGCAUUUAGAAUUCACUGAAUCUGCCUCCUCAAUGACCGGCCCUCUCAUGUACAUCGUAUAACUCACUGCUUUAGGAUCAUUUGAUUUUCACUUAUUUUACUGACCAUAUAAAUGCACCAAGUUUGUGCAUCCAGACACUGUAUAACUGAGGUAGACCAAUACUAAUGCUGCAGAAACUGGACUGAGCGGUAUGUAUUGAUGAGAAAUGUUAUGACCUAAUUAAUCCAACAUGAACUCCAAGUUCACAGUGGCGAGGCUGAGGCCGUCAGAUUAUAUGCAAAUAGCCAUUUUAUUCACUAGUAAUGCAUCAAGAUCCCACAAAUCCUCUGCUUGUUUGCCGUGUGCUAACUCUGCUCUCUGAUUCUCUUUCUCUGCUCCACCAACCGCUGGGUUACCUGCACCGAUCACACUGACAGUGCUGUCCACACUAAUGCUAGCCGUGCGAAAAUACAAGGCAUUACAGCAUGAGAAAGCAGCCCCGCGAGAGCCAAAAGUGGGGGAGUUCUCCCAGAAAACCUUGAGUUUCUCAGUUCCAGAGCCCUCGAGCGUCCCCCUGCGCAGACUGGGCCGUCCCACUGCUGCCUGCAUCCGCAUGUCGCUGCGCCACUCGCUGCUGCUCGGACCCGAACACCAGCAGUUCCAGCAGUUCAUGGCAGAGCGGCUGGCAGAGGCGGAUGCAGACCUGGACGCAGAUCCUCAUGACUGCCUGCACACAUACGCAGACGAGGGCGCGGGGUCGAGCGCUGGCUCCCUCAGCUCGCUGGAGUCUCUGACCUUUGACCCCUGCGGGACCCUGAGCUGGGAUGCAGGACCGCACCGUCUGCGGCUCUCCCCAUGGCCUGCAGCGACUAACCAGACAUCUUUCUGAACCCACGGAGUUAAUAAUAAUGAUGAUGAUGAUGAUGAUGAUGAUGAUGAUGAUAAUGAUUAUUUCUCUGAGGCUUUAUGGAUCAAACCGGCCAGCCCUGCAGACAUUCCUGUCCUGGUGUUCCUGAAGAAUCCUCCACUGCUGCGUUUCUGACCCGCUUACAGCACACUUCUACUGCACACCCUCCCUUCUGCAGUGUGCGUGUGCGUGCGUGUGCUUGUGUGUGUAUUUGGCACAUACUAAACAGUAUAAUAUAUCCCACACAAAUAAUGGACUGAACAAGCGUUUGUGCUACUGUUUCCUCAUAGCAUAACUCUCUCACACAGCAUGAUGAUUUGCAGUUGCGCUUUGUAUUUCAUAUCACUCAGCCUGAACAAUAUUUUGAUCUAUUUUUAGCUAAUAUUGAACAUUAAGCACACGUCAUUUUCUGUGCGCUGCACUAUUUAAAUGAUACAUAUUUGAUUUAACACAGAUCAGUUUGGGGGGAUCAGAUCACUACUCUGCACUGUCAAUCCAGGUGUAUUUUCUUCAUAAACAAUGAAAAUGAAUCUGUUUGCUUCUCUGUAAAUGACGCUCUGCUUUCACAGCACAGCCGGCGAGAGCAUCAGCACCGUGCUCAUGUGUUCUAACUAAAGAAACCAAUAUAAAGCAGCUGUUGUUGAGAGGCGUUUGUGUUCAUGUGGAGGUGCUAGUCUGAUAUCAACAUGCUGUAUAUACAGUAGAUGACAUUUAAGCUCCUUGAUCUUUACGUUAAUGUUUGUGUCUAGUCUAAAAGUACUCAUUUUAUGCUUUGCAUAGACCUUAAUAAACUGCCUUGAGCAACA